UACGUAGGGUGCAAGCGUUGUCCGGAUUUAUUGGGCGUAAAGAGCUCGUAGGCGGUUUGUCGCGUCGGCUGUGAAAUCUCGGGGCUCAACCCCGAGCUUGCAGUCGAUACGGGCAGACUGGAGUUCGGUAGGGGAGACUGGAAUUCCUGGUGUAGCGGUGAAAUGCGCAGAUAUCAGGAGGAACACCGGUGGCGAAGGCGGGUCUCUGGGCCGUAACUGACGCUGAGGAGCGAAAGCAUGGGGAGCGAACAGG
rnacentral:rRNA from 1 species